rnacentral:rRNA from 1 species
UGAGGAAUAUUGCGCAAUGGGGGAAACCCUGACGCAGCAACGCCGCGUGGGUGAAGAAGGCCUUCGGGUCGUAAAGCCCUUUCGGACGGGACGAAAGUUCCGCGGGGAUAAUCCGCGGAGCCUGACGGUACCGUAGGAAGAAGCACCGGCUAACUCCGUGCCAGCAGCCGCGGUAAUACGGAGGGUGCAAGCGUUGUUCGGAAUUACUGGGCGUAAAGCGCGUGUAGGCGGCCUUGUAAGUCAGAUGUGAAAGCCCUCGGCUCAACCGGGGAAGUGCGUCUGAAACGGCAAGGCUUGAGUACGGGAGAGGGAGGCGGAAUUCCCAGUGUAGAGGUGAAAUUCGUAGAUAUUGGGAAGAACACCGAUGGCGAAGGCAGCCACCUGGCUCGGUAUUGACGCUGAGGCGCGAAAGCGUGGGGAGCAAACAGGAUUAGAUACCCUGGUAGUCCACGCCGUAAACGAUGUGUGCUAGCCGUUGGGCAGCUUGCUGUUCGGUGGCGCCGCUAACGCAUUAAGCACACCGCCUGGGGAGUACGGCCGCAAGGUUA